UCUUGAAGAAAUUUAAAAAGUAUUGUUUAUUAAUUAAACUGUACGCCAAAAUAAUAUUUUAUUUUCUUGCAGAUCCUUGUGGUUUACAUCGCCAAUGUUGUGAAAGAGAAGAAAGCAGAAAUGAUACGAAUUUUCGACAUUCACUACGAUGAGUACAGGUCCUUAAAUGUUAUCCACAAUUUUUUUAAUUUUGUAAUUGAUUUCAAAAUCCUUGUGGUUUACAUCGCCAAUGUUGUGAAAGAGAAGAAAGCAGAAAUGAUACGAAUUUUCGACAUUCACUACGAUGAGUACAGGUCCUUAAAUGUUAUCCACAAUUUUUUUAAUUUUGUAAUUGAUUUCAAAGUUAAGUUUCCAUUAUUUUUCACCAAGUUGAAUAACACCUUUUUUUCUUUUUUUGCUCGAUUUAUUAUAAAAUUAGGAGUCAAUUUCUGAUUCUUGAAGAUAUUUAAGGAGUAUUGUUUAUUAAUUAAACUGUACAGCAAAAUAAUAUUUUAUUUUCUUGCAGAUCCUUGUGGUUUACAUCGCCAAUGUUAUCGAAGAGAAGAAAGCAGAAAUGAUACGAAAUUUCGACAUUCCUAUCGGUCCUUGUGGUUUACAUCUCCAAUGUUGAGGAAGGGAAGAAAGCAGAAAUGAUACGAAUUUUCGACAUUCACUAUGGUCCUUGUGGUUUACAUCUCCAAUGUUGAGGAAUAGAAGAAAGCAGAAAUGAUACGAAUUUUCGACAUUCACUACGGACAACUACCAUGAUCAUCAGGGGAUGUGACGACGUGGCAUCACUUUCCACCACAGGAGUCAAGAGGACGGUAAUACGUCGCGCGUGACAUACGUCGCGUCGGGAGUGUUCUGGAGCGUCCAGAUUCGAACUUCGAAGUCACCAACACCCGGAAUCCCGGAAAUUGCGGGAUGCUGGGUCUUGGAAAUUUCGAAAUUCGAAUCUCAUGGUCUCCAGGGUCACAGAUCCCGAAAUUUUCGAGAUCUGUUACUUUGGAGACCCUGAGACUCGGAUUUCGGAAUUUCCAAGACUCGGUAUCCCAAAAUUUCCGAAUUUCAGGUCUUGGGGACUUCUAGUUCGAAUCUGGAAGCUCCAACGUCUGGGACUUGUCCCGGACGGUCUUCGAAUCACAAAAUAUUUCACACUAAACCUGGUAGGCCUGAAAAAUUUUUUUAAAUAAAACAAUUUGUACGGUU